rnacentral:rRNA from 1 species
UUAAGUCGACCGCCUGGGGAGUACGGCCGCAAGGUUAAAACUCAAAUGAAUUGACGGGGGCCCGCACAAGCGGUGGAGCAUGUGGUUUAAUUCGAUGCAACGCGAAGAACCUUACCUGGUCUUGACAUCCACGGAAGUUUUCAGAGAUGAGAAUGUGCCUUCGGGAACCGUGAGACAGGUGCUGCAUGGCUGUCGUCAGCUCGUGUUGUGAAAUGUUGGGUUAAGUCCCGCAACGAGCGCAACCCUUAUCCUUUGUUGCCAGCGGUCCGGCCGGGAACUCAAAGGAGACUGCCAGUGAUAAACUGGAGGAAGGUGGGGAUGACGUCAAGUCAUCAUGGCCCUUACGACCAGGGCUACACACGUGCUACAAUGGCGCAUACAAAGAGAAGCGACCUCGCGAGAGCAAGCGGACCUCAUAAAGUGCGUCGUAGUCCGGAUUGGAGUCUGCAACUCGACUCCAUGAAGUCGGAAUCGCUAGUAAUCGUGGAUCAGAAUGCC